rnacentral:rRNA from 1 species
CCCUCUAAUCAGUGAAACUGAUCUCCCCGUGAAGAAGCGGGGAUAUACAUAUAAGACGAGAAGACCCCAUGGAGCUUUAAACCUGACAGCACCCGCUCAUUCUAUACCCCAUUAUUUGCCCGACCCCUGUCUGCUCAGUUUUAGGUUGGGGUGACCACGGAGUAUAAAAUAACCUCCAUGAAGAAGGGGAUAUUUCCCUUAUUAGAGAACCACACUUCCAAGAACUAAUAAAUUAAUUUUCAAUGACCCGAUACCUGAUAAUCGAUCAACGAACCAAGUUACCCUGGGGAUAACAGCGCAAUCCACCCUGAAAGCCCUUAUUAACAGGUGGGUUUACGACCUCGAUGUUGGAUCAGGGUAUCCCAGUGGUGCAGCAGCUACUGAGGGUUCGUUUGUUCAACGAUUAAAACCCU